GACGAACGCUGGCGGCGCGCUUAACACAUGCAAGUCGAACGGAAAGGCCUGCUUUCCCUUGUGGAUUGCGGGUACUCGAGUGGCGAACGGGUGAGUAACACGUGAGUGAUCUGCCCCCAACUUGGGUAUAAGCCUGGGAAGCUGGGUCUAAUUCCCGAUAGGACUGCAGGGUGGUGCCUGUGGUGGAAAACGAUUUUCUAGUGGUUGGGGAUGAGCUCGCGGCCUAUCAGCUUGUUGGUGGGGUAAUGGCCUACCAAGGCGGCGACGGGUAGCCGGCCUGAGAGGGUGGACGGCCACAUUGGGACUGAGAUACGGCCCAGACUCCUACGGGAGGCAGCAGUGGGGAAUAUUGCACAAUGGGCGGAAGCCUGAUGCAGCGACGCCGCGUGGGGGAUGACGGCCUUCGGGUUGUAAACUCCUGUCGACCGAGAGGAAGCCACCUGGUUGGAAGGGUGGUGACGGUAGUGGUAGAAGAAGCACCGGCUAACUACGUG
rnacentral:rRNA from 1 species